UUUUUUAUAAGUUCUCUUUAGUUUCCACCAAGACUUACUUCCCUUAGUGCAUGACGUAAUUUAUGGUGUCGCUGUUGGAUCAUCUGGUAGGCAGCAAGAUACGGCUCUUGAAGAGGACGAAGGACAAAGUGCGGUUAACGAGGAAGCCAACAAUGAAACUGCAAACACAUCUGUGGAUCAGCUCAACAGACAAAGCGAUGUUAGACAAACUGUCAAUCAAAAAACGAUCCUGGAAGAGCAGCUGAACCUGAUUAAGUCUCAACAAGCGUAUACGGCACGGCUUCAGGCGCAACAAGAUGAGCGUCACGAGAAGGAAAUGGAGUUGAUGAUGCUGAAACGCAAGUUGACUUUAUUGAAAAUACAGCAGCUUGAAAACGAGGAUUGAUCAUUUUUUUCCAGGCUUUACUAUCAAAUAUAUUGGAUGCGAUAUUCUUCAGCAAUAAUAGAGACAAAUCACUAAUAAAAUACA